rnacentral:rRNA from 2 species
GGGUGCUAUACUGCAGUCGAGCGGACAGAUGGGAGCUUGCUCCCUGAUGUUAGCGGCGGACGGGUGAGUAACACGUGGGUAACCUGCCUGUAAGACUGGGAUAACUCCGGGAAACCGGGGCUAAUACCGGAUGGUUGUUUGAACCGCAUGGUUCAAACAUAAAAGGUGGCUUCGGCUACCACUUACAGAUGGACCCGCGGCGCAUUAGCUAGUUGGUGAGGUAACGGCUCACCAAGGCAACGAUGCGUAGCCGACCUGAGAGGGUGAUCGGCCACACUGGGACUGAGACACGGCCCAGACUCCUACGGGAGGCAGCAGUAGGGAAUCUUCCGCAAUGGACGAAAGUCUGACGGAGCAACGCCGCGUGAGUGAUGAAGGUUUUCGGAUCGUAAAGCUCUGUUGUUAGGGAAGAACAAGUACCGUUCGAAUAGGGCGGUACCUUGACGGUACCUAACCAGAAAGCCACGGCUAACUACGUGCCAGCAGCCGCGGUAAUACGUAGGUGGCAAGCGUUGUCCGGAAUUAUUGGGCGUAAAGGGCUCGCAGGCGGUUUCUUAAGUCUGAUGUGAAAGCCCCCGGCUCAACCGGGGAGGGUCAUUGGAAACUGGGGAACUUGAGUGCAGAAGAGGAGAGUGGAAUUCCACGUGUAGCGGUGAAAUGCGUAGAGAAUGUGGAGGAACACCAGUGGCGAAGGCGACUCUCUGGUCUGUAACUGACGCUGAGGAGCGAAAGCGUGGGGAGCGAACAGGAUUAGAUACCCCUGGUAGUCCACGCCGUAAACGAUGAGUGGUAAGGGGGUUAGGGGGUUUCCGCCCCUUAGUGCUGCAGCUAACGCAUUAAGCACUCCGCCCUGGGGGAGUACGGUCGCAAGACUGAAACUCAAAGGAAAUUGACGGGGGCCCGCACAAGCGGGGGAAACAUGUGGGUUAAUUCGAAGCCACGCGAAGAACCUUACCAGGGCUUGAAUCCUCUGAAAUCCUAAAAGAUAGGAGGUCCCUUCC